UAAAAAAUCUCAUGCAGCUCUGUGUGGAUGCUGAAUCCUGGUCAAUUCUGACCCAUCUGUUCCCAAAGUCUGCUACUGCUGCUAGGGAAGCCUCUCUCUUCAGCCCAGAAUAGAGGCAUUUUGUCACUACCUUUGCUUAUGUAUGUGUGGGAAGGAUAAACAGGACCAGUGGUGGAGCUCCAGGACUGCUAAGUAUCCUGCUCCAUGUGUACACGUCUCCUGCAUGUGUCUGUGCUUGUAGAUUUGAUGUCAAGGCUUCCCCAACAAGGAUGCUGCGGCACCCUCCUAUGUCCACUUCUCUUUACAGGGAUGUAAGUGAGAAUGAAGGGGAAGCCCAGGCUGGAAGGCAACUCAGUGGCUAGGCGCACUGGCUGCUCCUGCAGGUGGUCCAGGUUUGAUUUCCAGCAGCCACAUGGUGGCUCACCUGCCUGUAACUUCCUUUUCUGACCUCUGUGGGUACAAGGUGCACAUGCAUGUAUGCAGGCAAAACAUUCAUACACAGAAAAUUUAAAAUCCCUAUUUUUUAAGAAAAAGAGGAAAUUUGAAGCACAGCAUCUUUAGUUCUAUUUGUAAGUUUUGUUCUGCUUUGUUUUAUUUUUGACACAUGCUCUCUUUUUUUAGCCCAGGCUAGCCUCAAACUCUAGAUCUUCCUUGCCUCAGCCUCCUGAUCUCUAGGCUCACAGGCAGGCCGCUGGCAUUUGAAUUCGGAUUCUCCAACUGGAAAUUCUUUUGUUGUCAUUUUGUUUUGUUUUCUUAAUUUUUAAAAAGUUUUCAUACCUAUAUAAUGUAUUGAGCAUAUCCUACCCCCACUCCCUUAACCUCUAUGUCAGUUGGGGGUUUUGUUUUGUUCAUUUGUUUGUUUGUUUCGAGCUGAUAUGAGCUAGAGUCCACUGGGAUGAGGAAACCGCAUAUGAGGAAUCGCCUUUAUCCAGUUGAACUGUGGGUAAGUCAGCGGGGGAUUUUAUUUGGUAAUGAUUGACGCUGUGAGGGCGCAGUUCAGUGUAGGUGGCAUGAACCCUGGGCAGAUGGACCUCGGUUAUACAAGAAAAGCUGAGCAAGCAGAAAGCGCUGUUCCUCCAUGGCCUCUGCUUCAGUUACUGCCUCCAAGUUCCUACCCCUGACUUCCCUCGUGAUGAAUCCUGAGUGGAUGUGUAAAUCAAGUUAGCCCUGUCUUCACAAAGCUGGCUGGAUAUUUUGUCACGGAAACAGGAAAGCAGACCAAGACACCCUCCAUUUUCUCAGCCACCCGCCCCCCAAUACCACCCAUCUCUUAGACAGGUUUAUUUCUACUUUUAUGUCAUAUGUAUAUAUGUGAUUUACACAUCUAUAUAAAACCUGGGAACUAUAAAGGAGAAAAAACAUAUGUGAUAUUUGUGUUUCUGGAACUUGGCUUAAUUCUCUUUAUAUGAUUUUUUCCAGUUGCAUCCAUUUUCCUACAAAUAAUAUAACUUCACUCUUUGUGGCUGAAGAAAACUCUGUGUGUGUGUGUGUGUGUGUGUGUGUGUGUGAGAGAGAGAGAGAGAGAGAGAGAGAGAGAGAGAGAGAGAGAGAGAGAGAGAGAGAGAUUCCUUAUCUGUUCCUCUGUCACUAGACACCUAGGUUGGUUCUACAAUUUAACUGGAUGUUGAUGUAAUAAACACUAGCACACUAGCGUGUAAGUACCUCUGUGAUCUAUGGACUCAGAGUUGUUUGUAUAAACCACCAGGAAAGAUACAGAUGGGUCAUAUGAAGAUCUAAGUCUAGUUUUUGAGAAAGCCCCACGCUGAUUUCUUCAGUGGCCCAACUGGUUUACAUUCCUGCCGGCAGUGUACAACAAUCCCUGUCUGUCUGCAGAUCAGUAAUUUGUUACGAACUCCUGUACCUACAUGCAAAAGCAGGUCUGUGGGGCUCACUGAUCCACACUCAUGACAACAAUCAGGGGCUGACCAUCAUGGUUUGACUAUAAGAGAUGUCAUAGGUUCACGGAAAGCAACUUGAUUGCCAGCUUUUAGGAAAUGGUUUGAUAAUGAGAGCCCUGUUUUCAUGAAUGGAUUAUUGUAGUUGGGUUUAAUGUCAACUCUAGAACCACCUGAGUAGGGAGCCUCAACUGAAGUAUUAUCCUGACUGCCUUAGUUAACCUGGGAAGACCUGUCCUGACUGUGGACAGCAUCUUCUGGUAGCAGUGCAGACUGAGGGUAAAGCAGAAGAAAGAGAUUUCACCUUGGGCUUGCUUGGGCUCUAUAGUAGUUUGAAUGUAGUUGGCUCCCAUAAACUCACAGGGAGUGGCAUUAUUAGGAGGUGUGGCUUUGUUGGAGUAGGUAUGGUCUUGUUAGAGGAAGUAUGUCACUGUGAAGGCGGGCUUUAAUGUCUCAUAUGCUCAAGAUACCACCCAGUGUCUUAGUCUACUUCCUGUAGGCUUCUGAUCAAGAUACAGCCAACACCAUGUCUGCCUGCAUACCACCAUGCUCCCCACCAUGAUGAUAAUGGACUGAACUUCUGAAACUAGUCUCCCAUAACUGAGUAGAGCUGACGUUCAGGGAAUGCUGGAUGAGAGAUUCUCUGGGAAAUCACAUUCUUCCACCUGAGUCUGCUUCCCAGUGAUAGAGUCAAAGCUUAUCCUUGGCACCCACUGCUGUUCCUUUCCACCUUAGUCAUUGUUCCUGUUGUUGUGACAAAAGCAACUGAAGGAGUGAUUGCUGUUAUUUUUCAAAUGGGAAAUCAAGGAAUGGAGAAAGCUCUUCCAUGAAGACUAGUUGGAAAGUAACAGGGGCUGCAGGUCAACCCCAGUGCUCUCGAACUUCUGGCCAUCGGUCCCCAGAAUAAAGCCCAGACAUCCACCUCAGCUCACCCAGAAAGACAGAGAUGAUUCAAGCAAGCCCUUAACUGUGAAUAAAUUGAAUUCCAAGCCCCCUGCUUCAAGUGACAACAAAGGGGGAUCAGCCUGGCCUGGGAGAAGCUGGCAGAGAAAGCAGACUGUGUUGAAGAAGAAGUCAAGAAACUGAGGCCGGGUGAGGAGCUCUGGUUCCAAAUGAUCUAAUCCCUCUUCUGGAUUCUGUGGGCACUGCAUGCCCAUACAUUAAUACAGACAGAAUAAAAAUAAAUAGAUCGUUUUAAAAAAUA